rnacentral:rRNA from 1 species
GACAGAGGAUGCAAGCGUUAUCCGGAAUGAUUGGGCGUAAAGCGUCUGUAGGUGGCUUUUCAAGUCCGCUGUCAAAUCCCAGGGCUCAACCCUGGACAGGCGGUGGAAACUACCAAGCUGGAGUAUGGUAGGGGCAGAGGGAAUUUCCGGUGGAGCGGUGAAAUGCAUUGAGAUCGGAAAGAACACCAACGGCGAAAGCACUCUGCUGGGCCAACACUGACACUGAGAGACGAAAGCUAGGGGAGCAAACAGG